UCAAUACUAAGGUUUUUGCGUGACAUAGUUAUUUGCAAAUAAAGAAUUAACUCAGCGUUUAUGCGGCGAAGGUUACCAUUUUGCUAUUUGAAAGCAAUACCGAAAGUAGCGUAGUUACCCGGCAUCAAGUAUGAUAGAAAGAAAUAUUACGCUCUUUUUGGUUUGAGUUUGACAGCCAGCUGCAGUGAUGUGACGUUAUAAGCGAAACGAAAAUGUACCACAAAGAGCAAAAAAUUGACAUUUAAGUGAGAAAAGACCAUCCUUAUUGAACCACUAUUUUUCCAUACCAUUUGCUGUGGCUUUGGCAAAAAAGUUGAUUAGUUCCUGCCGGCAAUUAAGUCCUUUCAACCACAGAAUAAAUUUGUAAUUUGUAAAUACAAUUCACAAAAUUUUAACUAAGUUUUUAUUAUAUAAUAAUUCCUUUUAGUUAUUCAGUAAUACAGAUAUCACGGUGCGUCUGAACCAAGAUUAUAUGAAAGGUUGCCGGACAUUGGACAAUCUUGCAAAUUUUAAAAGUAUAUUGUUCCAAGUUUCUAAAAACAUUUAUAAAAAAUUUAAAUCAUACAUACAUGGCUUUUUCAGAAAUAUGACUUGGAAAAUUGUUAUUCCAUUUUUUUUAAGACAGAGGUUGAGGUCUUAUUUGUACCGUAGGUAGGGAGCAGAAGCCUUCAUCCUAAAAGCGGGAGAAAAUCUUGGAUCAACACAUCAGAAAACACGGAACAACCACUGAAUAAGAACCAAUUUGCGUAUUAACCAGGCAAAUCCACUGAGACUGCCAUUCAUAGCCUUAAGAGGAAAAUUGAAAAGGUUCUGGAGUCUAAGAAAAUAGCCUGUGGACUGUGGUUAUAGACGAACUCCCCUUCCUACUGAACGAUCACGGCUUUGAAACACAAGGCUAUGCAGUGGGGAUGUUAAUUUUUCGGCUUUUUCCGAUCCCGGGAUUUUCGGGAUGGCGUUGUCACAAUCCCGGG